rnacentral:lncRNA from 1 species
CACACAGUCAUCACCCGAAAAUAUCAGCUUUUUCCCCCCAUCAGAGCACAUGUUCACCCAGGGAGGCCAGAAGUGCAAGACCAGGUGCUGGCAGGGCUGUUUUCUCCUGAGGCUUCGUUCUCGGCUCAUAUGCAACCGUGCUCUUCCUGUGCUCUAUGUCUGUGUCCUAAUCUCUUCUGGAUGCCAAUCACACUGGAUGAAGACCCAGUCAUAUGGCCUCAUUUUACCUUCAUUACCUGCCGACAAAGGCUUUAUUUCCAAGUACAGUGACAUGCUGAGGUACUGGGGGUUAGGACUUCAACAUACGAAUUUUGGGAGGGACACAAUUCAGACUCUAAAAGUUGGGUUUCCUGUGACGUGCCUAUGA